rnacentral:rRNA from 1 species
UACGGAGGGUGCGAGCGUUGUCCGGAAUCACUGGGCGUAAAGGGCGCGUAGGCGGUCUGCUAAGCGUGUGGUGAAAGCUCGGGGCUCAACCCUGAGUCUGCCAUGCGAACUGGUGGACUGGAGCACUGUAGAGGCAAGCGGAAUUCCGGGUGUAGCGGUGGAAUGCGUAGAGAUCCGGAAGAACACCGGAGGCGAAGGCGGCUUGCUGGGCGUGAUCUGACGCUGAGGCGCGAAAGCGUGGGGAGCGAACAGG